CUGUGUCCUCCACAGCAUCAGCCAAUAACCACAUCUUUCUCAUACAGAAGCCCCUGAGAACACAGCUCCCUCAUCAUGGAUUGGAGCUGGACAAUCCUCUUCUUGGCGGCAGUGACUACAGGUGUCCACUCUGAGGUCCAGCUGGAGCAGUCUGGGGCUGAAGUGAAGAAGCCGGGGGCAUCAGUGAAGAUCUCCUGCAAAGUUUCCGGGGGCGAUUUCAUCAGCGCAUAUACGCAAUGGGUGCGGCAGGCCUCUGGGAAAGGGCUUGAGUGGAUUGGAGGAUAUGAUGCAAUUGAAGGUGAAGCAAAGUACUCACAGAAAUUCCAGGGCAGAGCCACCAUCACCAGCGACGAAUCCACGAGCACAGCCUAUUUGGAGCUGAGUAGUCUGAGCUCUGAGGAUACAGCUGUGUAUUACUGUGCAAUCACACAGUGUGAUAACCACAUCCUGACUGUGUCAGAAACCCUGAUGAAGGAGGCAGCCAUGUCAGAAGGAGGCAGGAGAUGAUAGGGAAAAUUUGGGUGACAACUUCCCUAAAUGAUUGAGAAAAAGAAACAAUAGGAAAUGCAUUCACUAUAAUUAGGUGAGGAACAAGGGUACCCAACGGAACAUACUUAAAUACCACACACAUUUCUACAUUGUGGAUUUCAGGAAUGAGGCACAAAGUUAAUGAAAGUGGAAAUUUUCCAGGCAACAAUUAUCCUGUAAGUAAAAUUCAUAUUCAGGAGAGAGUUUCAAGUGGUUGAGUAUAAAUUUCAAAGUCGGUUGGGUAAUUAUCAUGGAGGACAAUUUUGGGAUUUCGUGGUAACUCUACAUUUAAUUCCAAAAAAAAAAAAAAAAUCUUGCCCUGCUACCUUCCAAAGAAGUUGUAUCAUUUUACGUUACCAUCAGCAAAGAAUGAGAAUUCUUAGCACUCCAAAGUAUUGUCAGAAUACUGUUAACAAUAUUUUGAAUUUUAGUCAUUCUCAUGGACUAUGAAUGCUAUCUCAUGGUUGUAAUUUAUAUUUCCCUGAGGAAUGAUCUCUUUGAAUAUCUUUUUGAGUGAGAUAUUUGUUUAGAACUUAGGUCAAUCUUUUUUUUUAACUUGUUUUCUUUUCUUUAGUUAAGUGUCCUUGUAUAUUCAUGAUACAAGUCAUUUACAAAAUAUACUAUUUUCAAAUAUUUCUCCGGGCCUAUUACUUUUCUUUUCAUUUCCUUAACAAUGACUUUUGCAGAGUGAAAACAAUAUAGUUUUGGUAUUGACCAGUUUAUUAAAUAUUUUUUUCUUUUGUUGUUCAUGUUUUUGAUGGUAAAUCUAAAACUCAUUGUCUGAUCCAAGGUCACUCAAAAUUUUUUCCGUGACUCUAACCACAGAACAUACUAAAGGAAUUGUAAGUUAGAUUUUAUCAUUUUAUGUUGAAAGUAUGUGCAUGAGUCAUUUGGAAUUCUUCUGUAUGAGGUGUUUGUCUCCUUCUCCACAUUAAAAAAAAAAAAAUUCAGUCAUUUGCUUACAUCAGUAUGCAGUCAUGGGUAUUGGUUUUAUAACUUGUGUCAUAAUUCAAUAUUCUGCCAUUUAUUUAGUGUUCAAAAAUUUCCAGCUUGUUUACCUAUUGAGAACUCUUUCAGUUUGGCUCCCAUCAUUUGCCAUCCAUUUA